rnacentral:lncRNA from 1 species
AACAAACAGAAGCAUAAGGUGCAAGGAAGAGAGAAAAAUUCAAGACAGCUGUCCCGUUUCCGACUGGAAGAGUGGAAAACAGAUUUCAUGGGGAACAGAAGAGGAACUGUCAUGCCUCGAGCAUGUGGGAAGACUUUAAUGGGCUCAAAGAACUGAAACUCAACACGAUCUAAGGAAGAAAUUAUGCCCCAACUUUUUUCCAAAAGAGCGUGCAUUAACAUCCAGUAUACAUAGCCACAUCUUCCAUAUUACUACAUCUACCAUCAAAGGAAGGGAGGCUAUAAUUAUAUAUACAAGGCUGGCCACGAUGGAAUUUCUGACUUAGCUGCUGACUGUCUCUGUUCCCGGGGGCCUGUGGCCCACAGUACUCACGGUAUUAUUGUGUUUCCAGAUAGGCUGCUGUUGGUGUUUAAAAAUAUUAUCUUAGGGCUGCCUGGGUGGCUCAGUGGAUUAAGCCUCUGCCUUCAGCUCAGGUCCUGAUUUUAGGGUCCUGGGAUCGAGCCCCCACAUGGGGCUCUCUGCUCAGCAGGGAGCCUCGUUCCCCCUCUUUCUCUGUCUGCAUUUCUGACUACUUGUGAUCUCUCUCUCUGUCAAAUAAAUAAAUAAAAUAAAAGUAAAUAAAAAUAUUAUCUUAGAUGCUGGUUCCCCUGUGCUGACCCCUGAUUAUAGGAG